AGUAAACUUAAAAAUUAAGAAAAAAAGUAGAAAAUACGCGUAAAGUUCUAAAAACAGUAUCUUCUAAGAAAAAUAUUUUACAAAUAUUUAAAACAAGCAAUCUUUUGGACUACAUAAUAUUAUCAAUUGAUAAAACAUCAUCACCGACGGUGAAACUUACCCAUUUCCUUUUGCAAUAGAUAUUUUGAACUACUGACGAAAAUGUGUGGUGGUUGCGGUGGAUGCGGUGGCUGCGGCCCUUGCGGCGGGUGCUGUGGCGGCUGUGGGCCGUGCGGCGGCUGCUGCGGCGGCUGCUGCGGAGGAUGCUGCGGCGGCUGCUGCGGUGGAUGCUGCGGCGGCUGUGGCUGUCCAAGGAUCACCAUCCAUACCCGUUGUACGAAGAUCUGUUAAUUGUCAGGGACUGCCAGCAAACGAGCACUACGUCAAGACUACGAUACGACGUCAAGUCGUAGUGUUGGCCACGUAUCGUACUGCGUCCUAUUCGUGCUGUCUACACAUUUGUGCUGUCAACUCAGUGAUGUUCAAAUAUAAUUUGGUUAAUUUAA